rnacentral:misc_RNA from 1 species
UUACCUCCUUGGCUCAUCCAACAAGAGCCAAAAUAAAACUAAUUUUACAAAUUAUGGAUUGUGAAUGAAGAUAAUUAUGUAACUCAGAACCCCAGUUCAAGCAAGCUAACAAAUUUAAACCACAUGAUCACGAGAUCCAGCAAUGCAGAUUUAUAAACUUUAAAAUAAUAACAAUAAAUUAAAAAAGAAUUUUCUAACAUACCAUAAUAUUUUUUCCAUUUCCUGUUCAUCCAAACUCUUUUUUUGUUUUGUUACAAUGUUUGUAAACCCCGAAACUACACCACACUAAAACGAGAAUAAGUAAUGCAGCACAAAUCAUGAAGAAGCCAACUAAAAAUUCCUUGUGGAAGAUAUUGAAGAAGAUGGCAGCAUGAGGGAAAGCUUGUCAAAUUAGCUAGCCAAUCUGCUCUAAAAUUGGCCUCUUAAAAGACAUGUUCACUUUAACUUCCCAAUUUCUUUUGACACAACAGUGUUAAUUCUUUUGUACAUGCAAGAACCUGUGUUAAUUUAUUCUGCAGUUAUCAUACAGAUUAUGUUUUACUCACAUUAAGGGUUUACUGUAUGGUCUUGUAUUGGAUGAUAAGGUUGACUAAUAGGGUUUCCCUCUAUACCCAAAAAGCAACCAUGAUGUAGGAUGAAAAUUACGCUCUAGGUUGACUACAAAAUAACUUAAUAUGGUUCUUGUAUCUAAAAGGAAUAAGACUGCAUGUUAAAAGAGUAUGGAUGAGCGAGCAACCUCAAGGGAGCCAACCUAACCUGCUGGGCUAUCCAUGCAAGUAAGCAACUACAACAGCUAAUUAUAUAUUAGUGCGCAUUCAAUACAGGAUUAAAGGAAUGAGGGUGAAAAGUUAUAGGAGUAACAACUAAGGGUGUAAUGGUUAAAGUGGAGGUAGAGAAAAUUGGUUUUUAAAAAAUUACAGAAGUAAAAGGCAAGUAUGCUUGCCUUGAGAUAAAAGAACGAUAAAGUAAUACAUUAUAACAGCAUGCCUGCUGAGCUAUGCAUGGGAAGUAGGCAACUAUAACAGCUAAUUAUAUAUUAGUGAGCAUUCGAUACAGGAUUAAGGGAAUGAGGGUGAGAAGUUAUAGGAGUAACAACUAAGGGUGUAAUG